UAAUACAGAAAUAAAAAAAUUCGUUUGCAAUAUAUUCCAAGAACUGUAUGCACAACAUUAGCGGUAGUUAUAAUGAAGUUAUAUUGUCGUUACAAUACCAUUAUAAUAUAAUUAUAAUUGUAAUUAUAAAAUAUAUAAAAAAAAAUCUUAAACGUUGUAAUAGUUACAAAUUUAAAAAGUGCUUUAAAAACAUGUCCUAGAGCAUUUAUAUGAACCAUUACUGAUAGACAUAACGAAACUGAAUCAUCAUAAUAUGUAGAUAACAGAUAUCUUAAUUGCAAUAAUAAUUAUAAGAUUAUUUAACUAUUCCGGAGUAUUAAAAAAAUAUGAUAUAAAACCAAAUGAAAGUAGAACGUCGAUUUUUGUAAAAAUAAUAAAUCUCUUAAUCAUCAUAAAAAUUCCAAGGUUUUUUAACAAAAUAUACCAAAUAUGUAAUAUAAAAUAUAGUGAAGAAAAUAAUGAAAGUACAUCACAAUCGGUGAGAAUAGUGAAUAGACUCUUCAACUAUUCUAAACAUUCUAUACAAGGACGUAAUAAAAGUAGAUAAAAAAAGAGCAAGUGAAUAUUUAAUUUUCCAUAGAAUCGUUCGAAAAAUCAAACAAUUUUCAAUUUUGCUAAGAAUAGCAAAUUUGUUGGAGAACACUAUCGUUUACGCGUGUAUUGUGAAAAAGUGAAAAGGUGCGCACGGAAUUCAUUAAGACGAGCCCAGUGGAAGUAAAAAUAUUUAAAUUGCUGGAAUGCAGUGUCAUCAAUGCUGACGAACAUUGGCGGACGACGUGAAAUGAAAUGUUGAAAAUUUGCCCCGAGGUCUGGGCUGAAGAAUUUCAAGUAAUGGGACGGUCACGUGUGAAGUGAAAGGGUGUAUCAAAGAGACGAUAAUGCGCGAGAAUGAACGCGAGGGAAGUGAGCACGUCCGUUUUAAACGAAAUUAGGCUCAAAGGGUGCAAUUGGAUCACUUUUCUCACCAGCAACAGCAUUUACGUUGGCAGCAAGGAUUGGCUUUGCGAAAAUUGCUAUCGACCUUUGGAGUCGCGGUCACGUGCGUUUUGCAGAAAUUGCACGGCGAUAUCGACGCGGGUGAGCGCAACGAGUGGGGUAGAUUUGAGAAAAGAAGCGGUACGAUUAGUUAUUGUGCGUCAAUGAAUCCGACAACUGCAGAUGGAAUAGAAAUGUAGCGACUCCGAUGCGAUAAUCGGAUAGUUUACAAGAACAGUAUAUCUCAGUAAAGGGUAACCGCAGGUUCGGGUAUUUUGAUUGUUUGGUUAUUGGAGUCAAGUGCAACGACUCUGGCGAAUAGUCAGAAACUAGCAGGAUCAAUAACUCCCAGUAAACGGUAAAAAAUGACAAAUCACAAAAUGUUUUGUUUACGGGACCUACUGGAAGAAGUAUUCUACAAGAUGCAAGAGGUUUCACUCCGAUUUAUCAAGUCAUCUCGACGUAAUCGUCAAAGAUACCUAAAAAUUACGGUUUUUUGUUAAAAAGAAAAAAUGGGUAAAAAAUAACAAAUUGCAAAAAGUCUUAAUAGCGGGACCGCCGGGAUGACAUGCUUUACAAGAUG